rnacentral:lncRNA from 1 species
AAUGCAUUACUUAUGUUCUUCAUUUCAGUCUGCAUUACACCCAUCUGAGCCUCCAGCUUUGAAGUUGAUGAAUCUGCAUUAUGAAGUAAUGACUUUCCAGUAGCCGCAAAUUGUAGCUGCUUUUUUGAUGUGUAUGAGCAAAAUCCUCGAGUUCGAGUUCUCUUUCCAGGGCCAAAAACUUCAGCCAAAGCAUCAGAGUCCAUAUCAACAUAGUCCUCCAUGCCCUCUUCGUUC